rnacentral:rRNA from 1 species
AACGAACGCUGGCGGCAGGCUUAACACAUGCAAGUCGAACGCCCCGCAAGGGGAGUGGCAGACAGGUGAGUAACGCGUGGGAAUCUACCCAUCUCUGCGGAAUAGCUCCGGGAAACUGGAAUUAAUACCGCAUACGCCCUACGGGGGAAAGAUUUAUCGGGGAUGGAUGAGCCCGCGUUGGAUUAGCUAGUUGGUGGGGUAAAGGCCUACCAAGGCGACGAUCCAUAGCUGGUCUGAGAGGAUGAUCAGCCACAUUGGGACUGAGACACGGCCCAAACUCCUACGGGAGGCGGCAGUGGGGAAUAUUGGACAAUGGGCGCAAGCCUGAUCCAGCCAUGCCGCGUGAGUGAUGAAGGCCUUAGGGUUGUAAAGCUCUUUCACCGGUGAAGAUAAUGACGGUAACCGGAGAAGAAGCCCCGGCUAACUUCGUGCCAGCCGCCGCAGUAA